rnacentral:rRNA from 1 species
UAAUACGUAUGUGGCGAGCGUUGUCCGGAAUUACUGGGUGUAAAGGGCGUGUAGGCGGGGAGACAAGUCAGAUGUGAAAUACCGUGGCUUAACCACGGGGCUGCAUCUGAAACUGUUUUUCUUGAGUGUCGGAGAGGAAAGUGGAAUUCCCNGUGUNCCGGUGAAAUGCGUNCAUAUUGGGAGGAACACCAGUGGCGAAGGCGACUUUCUGGACGAUAACUGACGCUGAGGCGCGAAAGCGUGGGGAGCAAACAGGAUUAGAUACCCUGGUAGUCCACGCUGUAAACGAUGGAUACUANGUGUNNGAGGUNUCGACCCCUUCUGUGCCGGAGUUAACACAAUAAGUUUCCCNCCUGGGGAGUNCCGCCGCNAGGUUGAAACUCAAANGAAUUGACCGGGGCCCGCACCACCCACUUGGAAUUAUGUGGUUUAAUUCCAAGCCACGCGAAGAACCUUNCCAAGGGCUUGACAUAAUGGUGGAUA